rnacentral:rRNA from 1 species
UGCAGCCUACGGGGCGCAGCAGUGAGGAAUAUUGGUCAAUGGUCGGGAGACUGAACCAGCCAAGCCGCGUGAGGGAGGAAGGUACAGAGUAUCGUAAACCUCUUUUGUCAGGGAACAAAGGCGGGGACGUGUCCCCGGAUGAGUGUACCUGAAGAAAAAGCAUCGGCUAACUCCGUGCCAGCAGCCGCGGUAAUACGGAGGAUGCGAGCGUUAUCCGGAUUUAUUGGGUUUAAAGGGUGCGCAGGCGGUCUGUUAAGGCAGCGGUCAAAGCCCGGGGCUUAACCCCGGCCCGCCGUUGAAAUUGG